rnacentral:rRNA from 1 species
UACGGGGGGAGCAAGCGUUGUUCGGAUUUACUGGGCGUAAAGGGCGCGUAGGCGGCGUGACAAGUCACUUGUGAAAUCUCCGGGCUUAACUCGGAACGGUCAAGUGAUACUGUCGUGCUAGAGUACAGAAGGGGCAACUGGAAUUCUCGGUGUAGCGGUGAAAUGCGUAGAUAUCGGGAGGAACAUCAGUGGCGAAGGCGGCUGCCUGGCCCAAUACUGACACUCAGGUGCGACAGCGUGGGGAGCAAACAGG